rnacentral:lncRNA from 1 species
UACAUCCCCUCCAGCCCUCCCCCAGCGGACACCCCUGUAUAUACCUAUAAUUUUUCUCGAUUCAUAUAAAGAGUUACGUAAUUAACGACAGAUGCUCUGCGUUAUACUUAUUAGAAAAUAUUAUUAUAUAAGAUUUAAAAAGUUUUAGUCAUUCAUAGACUUCAGUUCGUUAUUGUAUGGCCUCAAAUAAUUAUCCUGCCUGGUCCUUCUUUAGAAGGCCUGCAAAUGAUACAUUAAUCUACAUAUUAUGUACGCUUGUAGGAAGAGGAGUCAGGAGGCUCUGAUCGUCCCGUAAGAGAAUUUCAUAUCUCUACAUAUUAUAUAAUUAUUCAUUUUGAAACAUUAAACUCUUAUGCUGCUUAUAUUAAACAUUUAAAAAAAGUUUAAGCCUUGGAUAUUGGUGUACAAGAACAAAUAGUUUGUUAGAGAAGCUUGAGAGAGGAAAAAAAUAAGGCAUUGAAUAGUGUAUAUCGUACGUAUGUGCAUGCAUAAUAAAUGUUACGUAACUCCACGUACGCAUAUUGUUGAAAUGAAAUAGUGUUCUUUUUAAUAUUGUUUGUAUUUUUAUAGCGCUAGAACUGACGCAGAGUAUUUCUUCUCCUCUUUCAACUGCGUGCGCUUUGCUUUCUUUUAUUGUUAUCUUUUUCAGCUUCCCCUUCCUUCUUGCCUUCCUUUCUAUUAUUUUGUGAAUAUGUCAUGUUAUUCUGCGUACGUAUAUUAUCCGCACUUAUACAGCAAUAAUUUUCAAAGCAAAACCCUUCCCUGUUAUAUGAUCAAAAAAAUCCCUGUCAUAUUAUGCGGGAACUAAAAAAUAACACAAACAAUGGCGAAGGGAAUAGCUGGUCAAGUCAGCUAUUGUUGACUUUAUGUCUUGGUUGUCGGUCGGAAAAUCCUUUACCGAUCAUUGUAAUUUUAACCAGUUUGGUCUGAACUUGUGACGUACUAAAUUUUGAUCUACCACUGUGAUGCUUCACUAACUCAAAAUUGUAAAACUUGGUUUUGUUGUCACCUGUGAAUCUUUCUAUUGCUCUUAAAUCAUACUCCUUAUUAGUAGUAGUCUGAACGUUGAUUGGCAGAAUUCGAAUUAGCUCUUGUUCAGCUAUGAACAAUUUCCAACAGUUAUUCCAUAUUGAAAAGAAUGGGGUUGGCUAACUAGCAACUGAAUGAUGUUUUACCCACCUGUUUCCUGUAAGAGGAACCAUUGUGGGAUGCAAUCUACGAUUUAAAUUGAUGUCAACUACUGUAUUAUAUAUAUUGUACCUUUCCUCUUAAAAGAAACUGGAGACGAGCCCAAAUUCUUCCUAACUAUGGAAUAACUAUUUAAUAAUUGUUCUAGAAAAUUGUUCACAGCUAAACGUAAGCUACUUUGAAUUCAGUCAAUCAUCGUUCUGAACAUGGAUUACAGGAAAGAAGUUGAGAGGAUUAUACAUGGUAUAUUUUGUGAAGUAACACCGUGCUACGGUUUCACAUAAAUAUUGGUUAAAAAAAGACCCAAGGCCGAGCCGAACAAAAAUCCAGUCUUGCACUGAGAAUCAAGAAUUCUUAUUAUUGGAUCAUUCAUUUUGAGAAUGCUGGAUUUCAUUAGUUAUGAUAUUUACAUACGUCAGUCAUAUAUAAUUAUGUACACAAAUGAAAAGAAAAAAAUUACAUUUGAUUUUUAAAAAUUUUGUACAAACAAAAUAAAGCACAUGGGCGAGUGCAAAAGUAAAAAAGGAGGAAGGUACUAUUUCAGUUUGUACAAUUAUCUACUUCACGUUAUUAUAUGUAUUUAGUGUAGUAAAGGUUCAAUAAACUUCACAGAUAUUGUGUCGUCUGUAUGUUGUU